rnacentral:lncRNA from 1 species
UCUUUCCAACCCUUCUAAAAUCAUCCAAAGAAGCUUCCCAAGCUACUAAUUUAAUUUGGUAACAUCUAAUUCUCAGAUUUGCAUCAAUAUGACCAUUUUUGCCCAAAUUGACUACAAUUUCAGCAUUCGAGUAACCAUAGCAAUUGGGGUUCGUUAACCACUUCGAUUCCAUUUAUAUCUAUUCUCACACUUCCAAAAUAUGUCAACGACAGAUCACAAGCUGCUAAUUAAGUUUAAAAUUACUUAAUUUGCAUUUUAGCAUUAUUGUGGUCACUUUGAUCACAAUUAGCCUAUAAUCGAAAUUCAGCCCAUUACAUACUAUGCCAUUCAUGUUCAUUACCCAAUCCACUUGGCUAACC